GAUGAACGCUGGCGGCGUGCCUAAUACAUGCAAGUAGAACGCUGAAGGAAGGAGCUUGCUCUUUCCGGAUGAGUUGCGAACGGGUGAGUAACGCGUAGGUAACCUGCCUGGUAGCGGGGGAUAACUAUUGGAAACGAUAGCUAAUACCGCAUAACAGUAGAUGUUGCAUGAUAUCUACUUAAAAGGUGCAAUUGCACCACUACCAGAUGGACCUGCGUUGUAUUAGCUAGUUGGUGAGGUAACGGCUCACCAAGGCGACGAUACAUAGCCGACCUGAGAGGGUGAUCAGCCACACUGGGACUGAGACACGGCCCAGACUCCUACGGGAGGCAGCAGUAGGGAAUCUUCGGCAAUGGACGGAAGUCUGACCGAGCAACGCCGCGUGAGUGAAGAAGGGUUUCGGAUCGUAAAGCUCUGUUGUAAGAGAAGAACGAGUGUGAGAGUGGAAAGUUCACAAUGUGACGGUAUCUUACCAGAAAGGGACGGCUAACUACGUG
rnacentral:rRNA from 1 species